AAUACGGUCGAACAUGUUGCACAGUUCACGGCACAAUGCUGAGAAGCCGCGGCAGACCCAUUUUUAAAAUUGAGGUUGUUUAACACCUCUUUGACAAAAACGGCUUUCACUUGGUACACAAGUCUACCGGCUAAUCCCGUCCGAGAUUGGGACGAAUUAAAAGGUAAAUUUUAUGAACAAUUUUAUAGAACAGAACGGGAGUUAUUGGUUGCCGAUUUGGCUCAUUUCAAACAGAGAACAGGCGAAUCGGUUGAAGAAUAUUUGAAUAGGUUUAAGACGGCUAGGAGCCGUUGUUUUGUGAGAAUGCCAGAGUCGGAAUUUGCCAAAAUGGCAUUUAACGGCUUGCAUUUCAAAAUUAAAGAUUAUUUUGAAGACAAGUACUUUUCAAAUCUUUUCUAUUUGGGAGUUCGGGUUGCUCAAUAUGAGCAAUUCCGAAAGAAAAAUAAUGAGGAUCGGCCCAGGUGGAGCUAAAACAAAGAAUGGAGCAAAGGGAAAGAGAAAAAUAUUUCCUUCCUUGAAGAAUCUUCGGCUCAUGAAGAGCCGAAUUCGUUUGAAGAGGUUGAAAAUUCGGCUGAUGAAGCUGAAAUAUGUGCAGCCGAGAUGGUUAGAGAUCGCCAACCAUAUAAAUGUGCCUUGUUAAAGCCUGCUAAGUCAAGUGAGGCAAAGGCACGAGUGUCGGCAUACACAUAUUCAUUUGAUGUUUCAAAGACCGAUCUAAUUUUUGAUCGGUUGUUAAAGGAUGGAAGAAUUCAAUUACAGGAGGGUCAAACUAUACCUCCUAUUGAAGAAUUGAAAAGAAGAAGAUAUUGCAAAUGGCACCAUUCAUGAAGCCAUAAGACGAAUGAGUGUACUGCCUUUAAAAGGCAAAUUCAAAAAGAAAUAAAUGAGGGUCGGCUCAUAUUUGCUGACCAAGAAAACAAAAAUAUGAAAAUUGAUAAAAAUCCCUUUCCUUCGCAGGUUAACAUGAUGGACGUUAAGGGGAAGGCAGUAGCGGACAAAAAGACCGUUGAGCACGUGGCUUAUGUAAAGAGAACUCUUUGGCUCUGCAUAAAAUGUAAAGCCGAAAUGACGAAGAAGGAUUGGGAAGUCAUCAUCAACGAAAAGAAAAAGAGCAACGAAUGGAGAGAGAUGAUGGCCUUUCCGGAGGAGUGGGAUGAGAUUCCCGAAAGAGAAGACAAAUCAGAGGAUGGCUCAGAUGAAGCCUCCAACGAAUCCGAAUCAGAAGUUGAUUCGGUUCAAAAUAAGAAGGAUUUACUGAUGCAGAAGGUCCUGCAUGAUUAUUACACUAAUAGGAGAGAAGAGCAUCAUAGCCGAUGGAAUUAUCCAAAAAAACCAUUCGGCUCAAAGCAGAGAUUUCCUAGGUACCGGCCGCACUGGCAGCAUCAAGCCAGGCCGAGACCAGAAUCGGAAUUCGAAGGAAUGACCGAAGUAGACAUAGAAUUCCUCGGUCGAAGAUUAGUCAAUGAACUCAGCAUACAGCCCUAGCCGAGACCUUGGGAAAAAAGGGAGAUUUUGAAAAAUCAUUUGAGGAUUGUGAAAGUACCGGCAAAUGUACCGGUAGAUCAAUGGCACGAAGUCGAAGUUAAACCAUCGGCCAAGUGGUAAGGGCCGAUGUUGACGAAAACACAAAAACGUCAGUAGCAGAGGAUGCAAGCCGAGGCGAGACAACACUAUGAGGAGGCAAAAGGGAUAAGGCUGAACGUAUGGAGACGACCUAACGAGCCACCACACCCUUUUUCGCCCGAUGCUAAACGAUCAUGAGGCGGGUGGUUCGUCACCCGUUCCUUGGCUAAAGUCGAAGAUCGAACGGCUGGUCACGGUCGAACCAGAAGAGAAGAUGACUAAGAGGGAGCUAGAGGACAAAAUAGCCUUCCUUGAAACGAUCAUCAAGAGAGAGAGAUAGCCUCCUAAGGAGAGAGAAGUGCGGAUGGAAAGUGACUCUUCAGCCGAGACGGCAAGAGAGUCCGACGAAAAGAAACAGAAGAUUCAAGAAAAAUCGGCUGAUGAAGGACCAGCCGAUGUCAACAUGGUAUAUACUCUGCCAUAAUUUUUCAAAGCAGAGUAUAUCGAGUAUGAGGAGAUGACAAACGAAGAAGAAGGAGCCACAGUGGUUCAAUUACAACUAGAAGACACCAAACCGGCCGAUGCGGUGGUUUUCGAAAAACCUUCGGCCAUUCAGACAAGGUUUGUGAGGCCUCUGUUUAUUUGGGCCUUGAUCGAAGGUCGGCCAGUAGGCCGAGUCAUGAUAGACGGUGGGGCAAUGGUCAAUGUCAUGCCUACCUCGUUCUUUAAAAAACUGGGCAAGGGCGAGGACGAAUUGAAGCCAACUGACACGAUCAUGACCGAUUUCACUGGAAGCGGUCAACAAGCUCGAGGGGUGCUCACGACCAAGAUUACGGUAGGUUUUAAAACUUUAAGAACUGCAUUUUUUUGUAGUGGAUGCAGAAAGCCACUACAAUCUACUACUCGGACGCGAUUGGAUACACGCAAACGAGUGCAUGCCUUCCACGCUCCACGAAAAAUUAUUCCAGUGGAUAGGGGAUAGAGUUGAAGAAAUCUGGGCCGAAGGACGGCCCCAAAUGGUGGACAUCAACUUAGAAGAGAUCGGCCACAUCAAUUGGGCCGACGCUGACCCAGACCAAAUCACUUUUGUAAGAGUUACUGAAGAGGGAGUGCACUUGAUUCUCUCUAGAGAUGAAGGAGCUAUGGUGGCAGCCGAAGAGCCACCAAGCUGGUUAAAAUGGAGCGUGAAGAAUCAGGAACCGAAGCUUUAGAGGAGCUUCGGCAAGAAGAGCCAAUCGACAGGAUCGGCUAUGUGAUAAAUUCGACCCAGCAGGCCGAUGACGUGGUAUGCAACAAGAAGGCCGAGACGGCCGAUAAUGAUAUAGUGAAAUCGGAUGUUAAAGCCGAUUCGAAAAAUAUGAUAAAAUCGGCAGAGGAAGCCGAUGAGGAAAGACCAGAUGAAAGAAAGAGGCGAACCAACAAAUUGAAUUUAGAAGAGUCGCCUAUCAAAGUCGGUGAAAAGAAAUUGAAAAUACAGGAUCCACUAAUUGAGGUGAAUUUAGGAUCCGAUGAAGACAAGCGACCGACUUAUAUUAGUGCCAAACUCUCGGCUCAAUAACAGGAGGAGCUGAAAGAAUUAUUGAAGGAGUACAAAGACUGUUUUUCCUGAAGUUAUGAAGAAAUGCCAGGACUAAGCCGAGAAGUUGUAGAACAUCGGCUACCUAUUAAAAAAGGGUAUAGGCCUUACAAACAGCCGGCUCGAAGGUUUGAGCCGAGUAUUAUACUCCAAAUCAAAAAUGAAAUAAAAAAUCUUUUAAAGGCCGGUUUUAUUAGAGCGGCCCGUUACGUUGAUUGGGUAUCUAAUAUAGUUCUUGUACGUAAGAAGAACGGCAAACUAGAGUUUGCAAUGAUUUUAGGAACUUAAAUUUGGCUACACCUAAAGAUGAAUACCCAAUGCUAAUAGCCGAUAUGUUAGUAGAUUCGGCUGCCGGUAACGAAAUCCUGUCUUUUAUGGACGGACAUACCGGUUAUAAUCAAAUUUUCAUUACAGAAGAAGAUGUAGCUAAAACGGCCUUUAGAUGCUCAGGGUCUAUUGAAACCUUUGAAUGGGUAGUCAUGCAGUUCGGUUUAAAAAAUGCCGGGGCUACUUAUCAGAGAGCAAUGAAUUUUAUUUUUCAUGAUUUGAUCGGCAAGAUGUUGAAAGUAUACAUCGAUAAUAUAGUUGUGAAAUCUAAAUCACAAGCCGAACAUUGGGUAAAUUUAAAGAUCGCCUUUGAAAGAAUGAGAAAAUAUGAUUUGAAGAUGAAUUCUUUGAAAUGUGCCUUUGGAGUCUCAGCAGAAAAUUUUCUGAAAUUCUUGGUACAUAAAAAGGGGAUUGAAAUUGAUAAAAAUAAGACGAAAGCUAUAUCAGAGUUGCCGCCACCAAAAAGCAAGAAAGAGUUGCAAAGUUUAUUGGGGAAGAUCAAUUAUUUGCGGCGAUUUAUAUCAAAUUUAGCCGGUAGGAUAGGAGUUUUCACUCCAUUACUUCGGCUUAAAAGUCAAGAAGAAUUUAUUUGAACGGAGGAACAACAAGGAGCAUUUGAAAAUAUAAAGAAAUAUUUAACAAAUCCUUCAGUUCUUAUGCCUCCUAAACAAGGACAGCCGAUGAAACUAUACAUUUCGGCUGUAGAGGAAAAUUUGGGAUGUUUAUUAGCCCAAGAAAAUAAAGAAAAAGAAGAACAUGCCAUUUAUUACUUAAGCCGAUGAUUAUUAGAUACCGAAAAACGAUAUUCGGCUAUCGAAAAAAUAUGUUUGGCCUUAUACUACUCUUGUACAAAGUUAAGAUAUUAUAUUUUACCAACAGAAGUAUCAGUAAUAUGUAAAACCAAUCUGGUAAAAUAUAUGUUAUCUAAGCCAGUGUUGAGAGGACGAAUCGGAAGGUGGAUGUUAGCAUUAUCCGAAUUUUCCCUCAAUUAUGUUCCGGCAAAAGCUGUUAAAGGACAAGCGAUAGCCGAUUUUCUGGCUGAUCAUCCAUGUGUUGAAAUUGAAGAGCCGAAACAAAAUUUAAUCGGCUGUCAACCUUGGAUACUUUAUUUUGACGGCUCAAGAACAGCCGAGUCAGCGGGAGCUAGAAUAGUUGUACAGUCUCCUGAGGGAUACACACAUCAGUUUGCUUUUGAAUUGGAUUUCGGCUGUUCAAACAAUCAAGUCAAAUACGAGGCCUUAAUAAUUGGCCUUGAAAUUUUACAAGAAUUGAAAGUUAAGUCACUCAAGAUCAUCGGUGAUUCACAGUUAGUGAUCAAACAAGUCAGUGGAGAAUACCGAUGCGAAAAUCAGAAUUUACAAAAUUAUUUAAGAAAAACAGUAGAAUUGCUUUGCAGCUUCGGAGAAGUUGAAUUUGAGCAUCUGACGAGAGAGAAAAAUGGACUGGCGAAUGAAUUAGCCCAAUCGGCUUCAAGAUAUAGGGAGCCGAAACGAAGUCUAAUAAAAAUCGAAAGAAGACUAUUACCUUCGGUUUAUAUUCGAGAGCCGAUUAUUGCCCCCAUAGAGGUGAAAGAGGAUUGGAGAAAAUCCAUAAUCGAAUAUUUAGAAGACCCCAAUAAAAAGGUCGAUUAUAAUAUUUGAAGAAGAGCACUCGGCUAUUAUUUGUUGAAUGGACAGCUCUAUAAGAGAACAGCCGAAGAAGUAUUAUUGAAAUGUUUAGGGCCUGAAAAAGCUCUAUUAGUGAUGGGAGAAACACAUGAGGGUUUGUAUGGAGCCCAUUUAGGAGGAAAAAGACUAAGAUAGACAAUUCGACACUUAGAAUAAUAUUAGCCAACUAUGCAUCAAGAUUGCAUAGAAUAUACUAAGGGUUGCCAAGAUUGUCAAUUUCAUGGAUUAGUGCAAAGAGUUCCUGCCUCUGAGAUGUAUGCAGUAAUUAAACCUUGGCCUUUUCGAGGUUGGGCCAUGGAUUUGAUUGGAGAAAUUUAGCUGAACUCCUCGGCUGGUCACAAGUUUUUAAUAGUGGCCAUUGAUUAUUUUACUAAGUGGGUAGAAGUAAAACACGCUCGGUUGGUCACUCAAAAAGAGAUUAUUGAUUUUGUUGAAGACUCCAUAAUUUAUCGCUUUGGGAUUUCUGAGACGAUUACAACCGAUCAAGGAACAAUGUUCACAGGAGGACAGUUUGUUCGGUUCAUUAAAUCUUGGAAGAUCAACUUACUUCACUAAUCAUCCUAUUAUGCACAAGCCAAUGGACAGGCUAAGGCAGCAAAUAAGGUGAUUAUAAAUCUUAUGAAGCGACAUGUCGGAAAACAUCCAAAGAAAUGGAAUGAAAAACUAUCCGAAAUAUUAUGGACAUACCGAACUUCAGUAAAAACAGCAACGGGGAUGAUACCGUUCUAAUUAGUAUACGACCACGAGGCCAUUGUACCAGCCGAAAUAACAGUUCAUUCUUUAAGAGUGGAAAAGCAAAAAGAUGUCACGCCCCGGGGCCGAUUUUAAAAGUCUUUUUAAAACUGAGUUGCGGAAAACGUGCCAUUUUUUUUUUUUGAAAAUACCUCUUUCUCAACCUGGCCCACGCGACGUACAGACCCGCCACAAAUACAAAGUUCCUCUGUCCACUCGGACAGAGUCUCCUUUGUAUUUGCACGGCGUACCAACGAUACAACAGGAUCUCAACCACAACCUACAUUUACCAAUCAACAACCAAGGCAUGAUAUGCAUUUCCAUACAGCUAACAAUCCUUAGAAUGAUGCAUGCCUCUAAGCACUCCUUAGGCGCUGGAUGAUGCGAUGCACAAUACAACAAACAUCCUAUUUAAAAGUGCUCCCCACACGGAAGCUUUUGUUUUUAAACUCUAAUUCAAUCAUUUAUAAAAGCCAUUUGAAAACCUUUUUAAAACUGUUUUCCACACGGAAACUUUAUUUUAAAAACCGACUACCUCGAGGGGUAGAAAACCACGAUGCAGGACUACGAGAGAACCAAAUCUCCACAAAACCAAAAUCACAGAUCGAAAACUCCAAUCUCAUGUAUAAUAAAACAUCCAUAAUCUCAUGCAUAACGAAAAUCACCACAUUCAAACAUCUAACUGAACCAUUUACUAAGAAAACUACUAAGUGCGGGAAAGAAAUAACCAGGGUGACGGUCGCUACUGUCGUCUAACUAGAUCGUCCUCUCGUCGAGCCCAAAAUCCAACUCCUCGUCUCUGUCACCUGGGGGGAAAGGGGGGUGAGAAACCGCAACCAUGGUUUUCUCAGUGGGUACGACAGAGCCACGAAGGCAAGUCGUAAUCACCGAAAACCAAAGGAGAUAGAUAAACAAGUAUAUAACUGUAAGCUGAUAUGAAAUAGAACUACAGUAGCUACAACAGAUAAAUAGGAAGCAAUAAAUAAACCUGCUACUGUAUAGAAAACAAUGCAAAGAAUGCCUCAAUGUACUGAACCAGAAACUGUACCCAAUCUGUGCCUGCUGUAUCGGUCCGCAGACCUCAAGCGCUACCUGUCACUAACUGCACCGACCUGAUCCAUCCGCCCCGCAGGACGAC
rnacentral:lncRNA from 1 species